rnacentral:lncRNA from 1 species
GGGUUGUUAAACUGAAUCUUGCUUAAUACUGUCCAUUAGCUCUCAUGCCGGGUCAGCAAAAUGCUUUAAUUUUUAACUGCAGAACAUGUGACUCGGUUGAGUCUUUUUGUCUUUUUUUUUUUUAAAUAAACAAUUGGGGGAAUUAAUGUGGGCAAGUUGCCUUAUGUUAGAAUGACUAAGUUAAACCUCUUAAUUUGUAUUUGUCCAAGGCAGACAUGAUAUAAGGAAUAUGCACUACCGUAGUAACUCCCCUGGCCGCAGAAACCACACUGCAAGCCUGUCCGGGGUGGGGUGCUGACUGCCAUUUGCCACUUUUAAAUGGGCACUGCCGUGGUAAUGUGAAUCCCAUCAAUGCAGUAGAUGGGUGGGGAAAUGAAGAUUUCCCCCCAAACCUUUAGGCAAAAGUGAGUUUUUGUUUGGUUGAUUUUGGGUUUUUUUCCCCCCUCCUCUUUUGGCUUUCACAUUUUAAAUCUUAAAUGUUACUAUUGCAGGCCGCAGGCAUGACAGGCAAUGAGCAGGUGAAGAACCAAUGGAAAAGUGUUCAAAAACUCCUGUGUUAGCUAACAGGCUUCUGAAUGUAUCACUGUGGUCCACAGAGAAGGCUGGAGGAGGUAGCAAGGAGAUGCUGUAUCAGCUACUACAGCCUUAAAACAAAGUUGGUGUCUCUUUGGACUUUAAAAUUGUUCCUAUGCAGCUUAUUUUAUUUUUGUUUAAUCAAAUAAACGAGGGUUUUUCCAUGGCUA